UACGUAGGGUGCGAGCGUUGUCCGGAAUUAUUGGGCGUAAAGGGCUCGUAGGCGGUUUGUCGCGUCGGGAGUGAAAUCCACUGGCUUAACUGGUGGCUUGCUUUCGAUACGGGCAGACUGGAGGCAUGCAGGGGAGAACGGAAUUCCUGGUGUAGCGGUGAAAUGCGCAGAUAUCAGGAGGAACACCGGUGGCGAAGGCGGAUCUCUGGGCCUUACCUGACGCUCAGGUGCGAAAGCUAGGGGAGCGAACAGG
rnacentral:rRNA from 1 species